GGAUGGUUGGCCGAGUGGCAAGGCAGCGGGUUGCUAACCCGUACAGCCGAAAGGCUGCGAUGGUUCGAUCCCAUCACUAUCCGCCA
rnacentral:tRNA from 1 species